ACGAACGCUGGCGGCGUGCCUCAAACAUGCAAGUCGAGCGGGGUUCUGGAAGUGGGCGACCACGGAAGGGACCUAGCGGCGGACGGGUGAGUAACGCGUGGGUAAUCUGCCCAAGGGACCGGGAUAACACCUCGAAAGGGGUGCUAAUACCGGGUGACCCUGGUGCUCCGAGUGGGGGACCAGGGAUAGGUGGCCUCUUGACAAUGCUACUGCCCCUUGGAUGAGCCCGCGUCCCAUUAGCUAGUUGGCGGGGUAAAGGCCCACCAAG
rnacentral:rRNA from 1 species